GGGCUCUGCUGCACACCCUUCCCCUAGCAGGGGCUAAACUCCUCACUCUCUUAGAGAGAGCUAGAAUGGAAAGAGGGGUUCCAUUCUAGGUAAACUAGCUCUGCCAUGUAUGCCGCCAUCUGCUGGUAAACCAGG